CUUAUGCAUGCAAGUCGAGCGAUGAGGCCCUUUCGGGGGUACAUCAGCGGCAGACGGGUGAGCAACACGUGGGUGACCUACCCUAAAGACGGGGAUAACCCUCGGAGACGGGGGCUAAUACCGGAUAGCUACAGCGUACGGGGGUAUGUUGUAGAAAGCUACGGCGCUUUAGGAUGGGCCUGCGGCCCAUCAGCUAGUUGGUAGGGUAACGGCCUACCAAGGCAAAGACGGGUAGGGGGUGUGAGAGCACGGCCCCCCACAAUGGGACUGGAACACGGCCCAUACUCCUACGGGAGGCGGCAGCAGGGAAUAUUGCGCAAUGGGCGAAAGCCUGACGCAGCGACGCCGCGUGAGUGAAGACGGCUUUCGAGUUGUAAAACUCUUUUCUGGGGGAAGAGGAAGGACGGUACCCGAGGAAUAAGCGUCGGCUAACUACAUGCCAGCAGCCGCGGUAAGACGUAGGACGCGAGCGUUAUCCGGAUUUACUGGGCGUAAAGCGCCUGUAGGCGGCUUUGUAAGUUGGGCGUGAAAGCCCCGUGCUUAACGCGGGGAGGCCGUUCAAUACUGCGGAGCUAGAGUACGGCAGAAGGGAAUGGAAUUCCUGGAGUAGCGGUAAAAUGCGCAGAUAUCAGGAGGAACACCAGUG
rnacentral:rRNA from 1 species